CCGCUACACUAGCUUGUUUGUACCAUGCUAUGCAAGUCAUUGUAAAGGUGAAGGACUGGUGGAUUUACUGACUGUUUGUUUGGAUUCUUGCCUAUAUGGAAAUGAAGACCAGUAACGAGACAGUGAGAAGAGGGAAAGACCAUAACACAUCCUGUGAUGGAAUGCAGCCGAAUACCCCACAUGUGGUCAGCAGAUGCCACCAGAUGUGAGAGUUCAAAAAUGGACCUAAAAAGUUCAUUUAUGACCCAUCACUAAUCAAAACUGAUCAGUCUUUAUAUAAACUCUCAAAACCCAUAGGAAAUUCAAGAGGGAACCCAUGGCUCAAAAAAAGGAUAAUUCUCUUUAGGUUUCAGGACAAUGAACAGCUUUAUUAUGGACAAUACAUUGACUUAUUAGACACCCAUACUUAACGUAGUGCUGACAGAUUUCCAUAAGCACAAAUUUAUCUAAAUUGUAUAAUUUUAGCUGUAAUACACUCUGGAGUUCAUUUACCAGAGAGUGUGUUACAAAAUUGAGAAACAAAACU